UACGGAGGGGGCCAGCGUUGUUCGGAAUCAUUGGGCGUAAAGGGCGCGUAGGCGGCAGGGUCAGUCAGACGUGAAAGCCCUCGGCUCAACCGAGGAACUGCGUCUGAAACUGCCCUGCUCGAGGCCGGGCGAGGAGAGUGGAAUUCCCAGUGUAGCGGUGAAAUGCGUAGAUAUUGGGAGGAACACCGGUGGCGAAGGCGGCUCUCUGGACCGGUUCUGACGCUGAGGCGCGAAAGCUAGGGUAGCAAACAGG
rnacentral:rRNA from 1 species